rnacentral:rRNA from 1 species
AACGAACGCUGGCGGCAGGCCUAACACAUGCAAGUCGAACGCACCGCAAGGUGAGUGGCGCACGGGUGAGUAACACGUGGGAAUGUACCCUUUGGUUCGGAAUAACGUUUGGAAACGAACGCUAAUACCGGAUGAGCCCUGCGGGGGAAAGAUUUAUCGCCAAAGGAGCAGCCCGCGUCUGAUUAGGUAGUUGGUGGGGUAAAGGCCUACCAAGCCGACGAUCAGUAGCUGGUCUGAGAGGAUGAUCAGCCACACUGGGACUGAGACACGGCCCAGACUCCUACGGGAGGCAGCAGUGGGGAAUAUUGGACAAUGGGCGCAAGCCUGAUCCAGCCAUGCCGCGUGAGUGGUGAAGGCCUUCGGGUUGUAAAGCUCUUUCGCACACGACGAUGAUGACGGUAGUGUGAGAAGAAGCCCCGGCUAACUUCGUGCCAGCCGCCGCUGUAAGAC